rnacentral:rRNA from 1 species
CCUACGGGAGGCAGCAGUGGGGAAUAUUGGACAAUGGGGGCAACCCUGAUCCAGCCAUGCCGCGUGUGUGAAGAAGGCCCUCGGGUUGUAAAGCACUUUCAGUGAGGAAGAACGCCUGGUGGUUAAUACCCAUCAGGAAAGACAUCACUCACAGAAGAAGCACCGGCUAACUCCGUGCCAGCAGCCGCGGUAAUACGGAGGGUGCGAGCGUUAAUCGGAAUUACUGGGCGUAAAGCGCGCGUAGGUGGCUUGAUAAGCCGGUUGUGAAAGCCCCGGGCUCAACCUGGGAACGGCAUCCGGAACUGUCAAGCUAGAGUGAAGGAGAGGAAGGUAGAAUUCCCGGUGUAGCGGUGAAAUGCGUAGAGAUCGGGAGGAAUACCAGUGGCGAAGGCGGCCUUCUGGACUGACACUGACACUGAGGUGCGAAAGCGUGGGUAGCAAACAGGAUUAGAUACCCCGGUAGUC